rnacentral:rRNA from 1 species
ACCUGGCGGCAGGCCUAACCAUGCAAGUCGAGCGCGCCUUCGGGUGAGCGGCGGACGGGUUAGUAACGCGUGGGAACGUGCCCUUCUCUACGGAAUAGCCUCUGGAAACGGAGAGUAAUACCGUAUACGCCCUUUGGGGGAAAGAUUUAUCGGAGAAGGAUCGGCCCGCGUUAGAUUAGGUAGUUGGUGGGGUAACGGCCUACCAAGCCUACGAUCUAUAGCUGGUUUUAGAGGAUGAUCAGCAACACUGGGACUGAGACACGGCCCAGACUCCUACGGGAGGCAGCAGUGGGGAAUCUUAGACAAUGGGGGCAACCCUGAUCUAGCCAUGCCGCGUGAGUGAUGAAGGCCUUAGGGUCGUAAAGCUCUUUCGCCUGUGAUGAUAAUGACAGUAGCAGGUAAAGAAACCCCGGCUACUCCGUGCCACAGCCCGCGGUAAUACGGA